AUGUAAUCUAAAACAUCGGCUAUAAUCUUUUGUGAAAAUUUAUACGGAUU
rnacentral:guide_RNA from 1 species